GACGAACGCUGGCGGCGUGCUUAACACAUGCAAGUCGAGCGGUAAGGCCCUUUCGGGGGUACGACGAGCGGCGAACGGGUGAGUAACACGUGGGUGACCUGCCCUCCAGCUCUGGGAUAAGCCUGGGAAACCGGGUCUAAUACCGGAUAUGACUCCAUGACGCAUGUUGUGGGGUGGAAAGCCUUGUGCGGCUGAGGAUGGGCCCGCGGCCUAUCAGCUUGUUGGUGGGGUGAUGGCCUACCAAGGCGACGACGGGUAGCCGGCCUGAGAGGGCGACCGGCCACACUGGGACUGAGACACGGCCCAGACUCCUACGGGAGGCAGCAGUGGGGAAUCUUGCGCAAUGGGCGAAAGCCUGACGCAGCGACGCCGCGUGAGGGA
rnacentral:rRNA from 1 species